GACGAACGCUGGCGGCGUGCUUAACACAUGCAAGUCGAACGAUCAAGCAAAGAAUUUACUCUUCGGCAGAAAUCCACUUCGGGUUAGUGGCAGCCGGGUGAGUAACGCUUUAGCAACCUACCUCUUACAAAGGGAUAGCCUCGGGAACCCGGGAUUAAUACCAUCUCACAUUGCAAUGAAGAAUUUCGAUGUAAUCAACACUACGACGGUAAUAGAUGUGCUCGCGUCCCAUUAAACAGAUGGUGAGGUAACGGCACAACAUAGUAACGCUGGGUAACCGGGAAGUGAGAGUGAGCGGUGACACUGGAACUGAGACGCAGUCCGGACUCCUACGGGAGGCAGGAGUGGGUAAUAGUGCACAAUGGAGGGAACGAUGAAGCAGCUACGACGCGUGAGUGAUGAUAGAAGUCAUGACGUAAAGCGCUGUUCUAUGGGAAGAAAAUGACGGUACCAAAUGAGAAAGCCCCGGCUAAAUACGUG
rnacentral:rRNA from 1 species